rnacentral:rRNA from 1 species
AGCGCACCCCUAUCCUUAUUUGCCAGCGCAUAAUGGCGGGAACUAUAAGGAGACUGCCGGUCAUAAACCGGAGGAAGGCGGGGACGACGUCAAGUCAUCAUGGCCCUUAUGGGUAGGGCUACACACGUGAUACAAUGGGUGGUACAGAGGGUCGCCAAAGCGCGAGCUGGAGCCAAACCCUUAAAACCAUUCUUAGUCCGGAUUGGAGUCUGCAACUCGACUCCAUGAAGUCGGAAUCGCUAGUAAUCGCGAAUCAGAAUGUCGCGGUGAAUACGUUCUCGGGCCUUGUACACACCGCCCGUCACAUCACGGAAGUGGGUUGCACCAGAAGUGGCUUGUUUAACCUUCGGGAAAACGGUCACCACGGUGUGAUUCACAACUGGGACGAAGUCGUAACAAGGUAGCCCUAGGGGAACCUGGGGCUGGAUCA